GGCCGUGUUAGGCUUCGCUGGCGUAAAGUCCCCGGGAGCUUUGCCCCUCACGGAGAACGUUAGUUGACCCUGAUGGGGACCCGUAGGGUAAAGGUUUUGUUUUUGUUUUUUUUACGGAAAAGGUGGCCUGAGUGUGGUUAGGCCCCUUGGAAAGUUGCGACAAAACUCGAGUUAGACAAGGAAGGUCGGAACUAAGUGGCCACAGCAACAAUGCACCAGCAAGCAGGGAGCGUGAUAGGAAGAGCUAAAGAGGAAUCGGGAAACCCUGGGGUCUCACCGCCGUCGCCCAGGCUGGAUGGAGUGCAGUGGCGCGAUCACGGCUCACUGCAGCCUCGACUUCCCAGGCUUAGAGAUGGGUUUCACCAUGUUUCCCAGCCUUGUCUCAAACUCCUGACCUCAAGUGAUCCGCCGUCUUGGGUCUUCGAAAGUGCUGGGACAGCAGGAGUGAGCCACCGCAUCUGGCCCGGAAAGUGUUUUGGAGCGUAGAAAAAUGCAAAUUAUAGGGCUGCCUUCAAGGAUCCCGAAGGACCCACAGAUUUGCCGCAUCAGGCUCCUAUGCACGCCGGUAAUUUGAUGUGUUAAGAUGCACUGCCCAGUGCGUUGUUUUUACUGGAGGAGCUUGUGUGCGGAGCUCCUUGCUAGUGUAUGUGUAUGUGUUGGGAUGGGAGAGAAGUGCGGGAGAACUAUGAGAUAAUGCCCCCUGAUCCUCAGGGUCUUAGGAGGUAUGGUCGGAGAGGCUGAGCUAAAGUAUGAAAGCCGUGUGUAGGCCCUUCUGUGUAGUGCAGAAAAGGGAGAGGUAUGUGAUUUGAAAGAGUAGGGAUGACAUGGAGGAUGCGACUCCUGGUUGGAUCUAUAAACUAAUGUCUUUGGAACGAAAGCACAUGCAACCUUUUGAAAAUGGAUGGGUGAUAAUGAAAGACCAUUCCAGAGAAGAAACACCAUGGUGCAAAGGCUCAAGAGGCAUACUGGAAGUACAAUGAAGAGAGCAAUCUAACUGAAAUGGGAAAAAAAGAAACAGAGUAAAAAGUAAGAUUUGAUGAGAAAGAUGGAAUCGAUUUUUAAAUUUUUUUAUCUACACAACAAAAUUUAUUAUCUUAACCAUUUUUGAGUGAAUAAUUCGUUAGUAUUAAGUAUAUUUACCUUGUGCAGCCAGUCUCCAGAAUUCUUUUCAUCUUGCAAAACAAACCCCGAACCCAUUAAACAAUUUCUCAUUCGCCAUUUUCCAGCUAGCCUUGGUAACCUCCAUUCUAGUUCUGUCUCUAUGAAUUUGACUAUGUACCCCGUGUAAGUGGUAUCAUACAGUAUUUGUCUUUUUGUGACUGGCAUAUUUCACAUAGCAUAAUCUCCUUGUGGUUUAUCCAUCUUGUAGCAUGUGUCAGAAUUUCCUUCCCUUUUAAGACUAAAUAAUAUUCCAUUGUAUGU
rnacentral:antisense_RNA from 1 species